AGCGGCGAACGGGUGAGUAACACGUAGGUGAUCUGCCCAUCAGACGGGGACAACGAUUGGAAACGAUCGCUAAUACCGGAUAGGACGAAAGUUUAAAGGUGCUUCUGGCACCGCUGAUGGAUGAGCCUGCGGCGCAUUAGCUAGUUGGUAGGGUAAAGGCCUACCAAGGCGACGAUGCGUAGCCGACCUGAGAGGGUGAACGGCCACACUGGGACUGAGACACGGCCCAGACUCCUACGGGAGGCAGCAGUAGGGAAUCUUCGGCAAUGGGCGAAAGCCUGACCGAGCAACGCCGCGUGAAUGAUGAAGGCCUUCGGGUUGUAAAAUUCUGUUAUAAGGGAAGAACGACUUUAGUAGGAAAUGGCUAGAGUGUGACGGUACCUUAUGAGAAAGCCACGGCUAACUACGUGUCAGCAGCCGCGGUAAUACGUAGGUGGCGAGCGUUAUCCGGAAUUAUUGGGCGUAAAGAGCGCGCAGGUGGUUGAUUAAGUCUGAUGUGAAAGCCCACGGCUUAACCGUGGAGGGUCAUUGGAAACUGGUCGACUUGAGUGCAGAAGAGGGAAGUGGAAUUCCAUGUGUAGCGGUGAAAUGCGUAGAGAUAUGGAGGAACACCAGUGGCGAAGGCGGCUUCCUGGUCUGUAACUGACACUGAGGCGCGAAAGCGUGGGGAGCAAACAGGAUUAGAUACCCUGGUAGUCCACGCCGUACACGAUGAGUGCUAAGUGU
rnacentral:rRNA from 1 species